UUGAAAAUAUUCUAGGUGAAAGAGUAUCCUGGGAUAUGAAGGAAGAAAUUUGUGAGUAUAGUUCAGCUGCAAAACCUGUUUGGUGAAUUCAAAGGAAGUCACCACACUUGAGUUUUGGUCCUUGGGUAGCAGUCAGGCAAGACCAGGGCUGGUGCACACCACACACCUGCCCACUGCCUUCACCUAAGCAGGGAAAGGGGAGUGCUCAGGCAAGCUCUGGAGGCUCUGAGAGGUUCGUACAGACUGGAGCAAACAGAGGAGAUGUCAAAGAAGUGGAUACAAAUUUUGAGGUGUGAAUCGACGCACACUCCUUCCUGAGAUGAAAAAGAGGCGAGUUCUGGGAGUCCUGGGACACUUGAACUGCUACAUGCUGCACAUCCAGCUUUUGGGCAGGUCUGCUAGGAGAAAGAAGAGACAAAUGCUGAGCAUUACAACCACAAACCACAGCUGUUGAUGGGAAUUGGCAGGAGACCAGGGAAUGCUGGGAAGCAUAGAUGGCCUGCAGCAGAAGGUUGUAAGCUGCCAGAUGCACUCUGUGUGGUUAAGAAACUGGUGCUGUCCAAGGGGAGGUGAGAAACGUUUUGUUAAAAAUAAAAGGGAGACAGAACAAAAUUGCACAUUAAAACUUGGAGCUACCUCAGCUGCCUGUGCUUUGCUGAGGGCCUCUGGCCUGGCUGCAGUGUGGUCUGGAGAUGCACCUUCCUCAAACCUCAGAGGACCCAGCCCAGCGUGCCUGGCUGUCUCCCAGCACAUGCAGAGGUUGUGCUGUGCCCCAUCAUGAGCAUAACAUAAAACCAGCUGCACUCUCUAUCUUCACUCCCUCCACUCAUUCACCUGUCCCACUUAAAUGUCUUUGGUCCUGCUGCCCAAAAAUACACCUGCACCCAGACCUCCUCUCCCUGCCACAUCCCCUUGCCCAUAUUCCCUGAUAUGGGCAAGCACCUUCUCCUCCCUCUUCUCCUCCCCUCACACCUGGAUCUGUUGCCCAUCUCCCGCAGAGGUGAACCCUAGAUGAAGUGCUGAGCCUGCCCGCAGUGGGAGGCAACCCUGUGCUAGAAAUGGGUGUGAAAAUGUGGUGAAAUGAGGAAACAUUUGUGAGAGGAAGUGAGUGGGUGGAGGGAAAAGCCUGGAGUGAACAAAAAUCAACAAAUAACACAUUGAAACUUGAGCUCUGAGUGCUCAGGGUGGGUAAAAGUACACCAAAAUACAAAAAAAAAAAAGAACACACAAAUUACUACCAGAAUGCAAAUAUUCUAUGUUAACAUACACCUAAUGUAUACUAUGGAACAAAGUACUGAAAAUAAAGAGGAGGCUCAAAAUAAAGAAGAUGUCUUAAGAUCUAAUGCCUUAACAGGAGCACAAGUAGCUCCAGUGAGGGUGAAAAGGGGAGGCAGCAGACCAUGCACAUGCAUCUUACUGGAUCUAGGUUACUGGAUCUCAAAGUCCAAACGGAUUGAUGGUCUCACUAACCAGACAUGGAUGUCAACAGUUGUUAACAGUCUGCAUGCCUCUGUAAAUUUUAAUUUAGUACUAUCAAGUAAAGCAUUUGAAGGAUAAUAUUAAAAAAAAAAAAAAAAAGGAAGUUAUUUCUAAUACAAACAAAAUGGAAGCCCAGCUCUGUUGUUUCUGAUACAGAAGUAAUUCCUUAGUUAAGAUUUUUCCCUGACAGACAUAGCAGUGCAGGGACCUAGGAGUACACUUCCCAGUUUUUCAGCCUAUUGCAUGUGCAUUCCUGACCUGUAAACCUUUCCUUCCUUUCUCUAGCCUUGCAGAGCAGGAUUGACAGUGCUAUGUUUUCAGCAACACACCAAAAAAGUCCUUGUUUUUUUCUCCUUAAAGGACAACAAAAUUGGCCCAAAGGGGCUGUACCAGAAGCCAGCCAGUUUUGCCCUCUGAGAAUCAGCCCACACAACCACAGCUCCCACUGGUGAGAAGUUAUUCAGACAAGUCCCUCCUUUAACCACUCACACAGUGAGUUGGUUUCAUCCAAGUUGCUGCCAUGGUCAUGGGGAAUGAACAACAGACAGGUAAACAGCUAUUAUGGCAUGCACAGAAAAUUGUCCAGUUUUGGUUGCAACUCAUUCCUUCCCACACAUUUCAAACCAACCUGUUCCACAGGGAUCCUCAGAAGAGGUUCCCUUCCACACAUAGUAAGACUGCUCAUACCUCUUCCAUUUUAAAAGAAUAACAAAAGCAACCUGGGAGUUGUCUGUAUAUUAUUCCCAAAUUUGUCAGUGGAGAAGCCCAAAUGUACUCACUUGGCAUGACACUGCUCCCUCUGGGGCUACAGCGAGCGAGCACUCUUGGAAAGCCGGCAGUGCAUCCGUGCCACGGGUUACAAUGAUUGCUACUGACAGGUUCUUCAUGGUAUCACAACAAAUUAGGUCACAGAUUAGAUUUUCAUAGCACAGAUUACAACUUGUGUCUACAUCUUUUUUCUUAAAUAGAGAGGGUUGUGGCCAGGAGGUUUGACCUCAAGAUUGGGAACAAGGCAGAUGCUUGGGACUGGGGGGGGUCCUAUUUCUGGUUAUGACAAAGACUAUCUUAGCAAGACUCAGAUAAAAUUCCUAGUUUUCUGCUGUAGUCAGAAGACUUGGUAUUUUUCCCUUUCUAUCCAGCAAGCCUUUGAGAAAUGAGUUCAUCCACUGGAAACCCUGUGGUAAAUCUUACAGCACUCUUGCAAAACAGCAAACCCAGCUUUGAAAGAAAUUUUAGAAAAAAUGAAUUUUUAUGAUAGAAAUGCAGCUUGCAGCACCUGAAAAACUGCUGCGAAUGGAAACCAAAGCUACCUAUUAGACUUAUCCCAGCUAUUACCACAAGGUCACAGAUACACUCAGUUUGAGCAUCUCUAGUGCAGAAAUACUUCAAGGGAUUAAAUUCAUGUGUGUAGUAUUUGUUUUAAAAUAUACCUAGCAAAGACAGUAAUAGAACUCGAGCACCAAAAAAAAAAAUAAAAAAAUCCAAGCUAUAUCAAGCUCCACACAGAGCAGCACAGAACAAAGGUUUCCAACAGCUGAGUAACUGCAGACACUGUGCAAAGUGCUUCCUACCCACUGCGAGAUACAGCCCUGCUGCAGAUUUGAAAACCAGCUCCAGCAACUGUGUUCCAGCAGACUGUCAGGGCUGUGUUCUGCUCCCAGCCACCUCCUCUCUCCGAGCUGAGCUGCUGCAGGGGAGAGAAGGCUCCUGGGAGCCACUGAGCUGGAUUCAGCUCCCAGUGGAACCGUGCAGGUCUGCAUGGGGGCAGUGAUUCAGCUGAUAAGCAGUCUCGCAGUCAUGGUAAGCACUAAAGGAAAACCUAAACCAGAUGAUCAGAAGGACAGGUCUUGGACUGAAUUAACCUCAGAGACAAGUCUUUCUAUGUCAGGGUUGAGAGAGCAAUGCAGGAAUGACCUUCAGCUUAUAGAAAAAGUCCUGAUCCCACAAUGGAAUCACCUUUGUGCUUGAGUAGCCCAGAGACCUACACUGGCUCUCUAUGGAGCCUCUGGAGCAUGUACUUACUCUGCCAGAGCAGGGCUGCUUAUACCUGCUGGCAGACCAACCUCUAGUCCCUAAUCAAGCCCCUGAGGCUGUCUGCAGCCAGAGGACACAGCCUGUCUGCCUGUUCCCAGGGCAGCAAGAGGAGCACAUGAUGCUGUGCCUGUGCCCUAUCUGCAGGUUUAGACAGGCUGGUGCUCAGCACCCUCCCCUCAGCCUCACACCAGCCCAGCUGCCAACACUGCUGGCCUGAAUCAUUGCCUGUGCCUCCAGCUCCGAAGCAAUCUCACACGUCACUUCAGCAGUUUUUCACAGGAAAUAUGCUUUUACUUUCAAAAUACUCUGGGCCUUGUUUUCCUUCAACAAGCACAGGAAGUAUCUCAAAUACCAGUCUUUAUUUUUGUGAGCCACUAUGUAUCCUCUGAUACCUUUGAGUACAAAGAAAUAAAUAGUAGUUGAGAGUGGCUGUGCUCUUCCAUGCUCAGAGGAAGCAUUAACAUUUUUUUAACUCCCCUCAGUGCCUCAGCCUCUACCAGUGCUCCUGCUAGGCACACUCACAUUUAGGGACACAGAAUGAGGCCUAAUAAUCUUUUCCUCAAGCCUCAGCUGUGCUGUGCCGAUUAUUGAGAAUCCAUCGCACACACUCCUUGCUGAGCUGUCUGAACUAUUGAUCUCAGUUAGAGAAAAGGAUGCUCUGGACUUUAUUGGUAUUGUCUUUAAAAGUCCUGUCGGUAGAACUGUUCUACUGGAUGCUGAGCACUUCCUAGUCUCUCUGCAGAGCACUGCCUCAGACCUGCUCAAAAGCUCCUUCAUGCCAGGGGCUCCUGCUGAGCCAUGGAGGAAACCACAUCACCAACCCUGGGGAAGUGAGCAGUGACAACUGUCAGAGAAUGCAGUAAUGAGGCCUCUGGCCUGAGCAGUGUUUCCAGAGAGCAAGAAAGCAGCAGGUAGGGGUUGUUGUCUGCAACAGCAGCUGGAGAGCAUCCUGCUGCCUGGACUGAUACAGGCUCCUGAUCCCUGCUCAGCAGGGAACACAGGAGGAGCCAAAUGCUGCCUCUCUCUAAGGCAAGAUGACCCUGAGCAGUGCCAAGCACUGAAAUGACCCCGGGUGUUUGUGUGCACCUGAGAGGGUCCUUCGGAGCACAUGUAGGUACCAUGAACAAUCCCCAACUCCCUACAGCAUCAGUUCUGGUAUCCUCAACAUUAAACAGGCAGCAGCCACUGCAAACCUCAUCUUCAGCCAAGCCCUGAAACAGAGGACAUUAAACUUCCACCAAAAUCUCACAUCUCUUCAAAGCACUUCUCAGUUUGGAGUGCAGAUGCAGGGUUUUCUUUGUUUAUAUGAAAUAAAAGGGCCUUCUUACUGUUUCAAUCACAUACCUAACAAAACACUAAAUAAGCAUCAUCCUCAUGGCUUUUUGGGUCUUAAAGAAUGUAUACACUUUUUACAUAUAUUAAAAAAUGGUUAUUAGGGAUAAGAGUUCAUUUUUAAAUGGCAAAAGGGUAACUCUGCUCCAAACCAUUGAGCCAGGUAAUCUUCACUGUUUAGGGGCUCCUCUGUGCUACUCUUUUUCAGCAGUAACCCUUUUGAAAUGCUACAGCUUGCUCAGGAGAGGGGUAGUUUUCACACACAGUCAGGAUCACAACCACACCACUGCUCCUCCCCAGAUGAGGAAGUACCAGAUCCCCCAAAGCAGAAGUGUUCACCCUCUCACCAGCCAGUCCAGCACAUUUCUGCCUGCUGGGCUGAACUUUUAGGUACAAGAUUUGCGUGAACGACUAGUAAGUCUUCAGCCUGACACUGCAAUCUGUACAAAAAGCCUCCAUCCAAGAUGGUCACUGCUGCUCCCAGCCCAGGACGGCCACAAACAACACCCAUGGCGCACAGGACCAAACCAUGGCUUCCUGCUGAGGCCGGCCAGCCCAGCGUGCUGCUGCUGGGCUCCAGUCCGGCGGCGACUGGCUUGGUGUCAGGGCUGUCACACCGCUCGCUGGAUCUGCCUGGA